ensembl:lncRNA
UGUGGGACUGGAAUGCCAAGUUACGCAGGAAUCACAGUGAGAAAUAAAUAUGCUGGGGCCUCACGUGUCCUCUUUCUGUGAGCUAACCCUCCUAGAAACCAAAGGGUGACCAGAUGGUGACCUAGUGAGCAGACAACCAGAACCAGGGAGACCAAAUGAAUCAGAUUUCUCAGGGCAACAAGAUAAGUAACAGGAUUUUACACAACUGCCCAGCCAAAGGCAGGCUUCCCUGGUGGCUCAGAGUGCCAUGGGUAUAUUACGAAGAGCUUUAGAUGAAUGUUGGUCAAAACCUCUAAAGUCAACUAAGGAGGCCACUGCUACUGAGAAAUUCACUAGCAUGGACUGUCCGAUCUGCCUGCGGAGUCUCUGGUUUCUUUUGGGAACAGAAAUCUUCAAUCUGUGAGAUCCAGCACAUGGCAACAGAGAAACAACCACUCAGAAGUCACAGGGAACAGAAAAGCAUAGAAUCAGAAGGAAGUGAUGAUCAGAGAGCACCCAGAACUGUGGUCAGCGCUUUCAGGCACUUGAUGUUUGUUGACUGACCGUCUGAAGGACUGAAUGAAUACUUGAAUAACCCAACCUCCUCAUUACACAGAGGAGGAAACUGAAGCCACAGGGGAUGUUGAUUUGCUGAGUCACGUAGCAUAGCAAUGGCACCUGGGACUGGCUUGUAGGGGACCUGAGUCUCACCUCUGUGCUCGUGUUAUCACAGUGAUGGCAACCGGAAAAAUUAAGGAGAGCUGGGGUGGAGUGAAGGAAAUAAGGAAUCAUAAAAGGG